CCACUCUCUUCCCAUUCCACCCCCACCACUCUCUUCCCCUUCCACCCCAACCCCUCACCAUUUCCCCCUCCCCAACCCCUCAAACUCUCCCCUACAUGGCCCUUCUUUAGAGUCUAAGGGGCCAUAUCAAUGACCCCUCUCUCCACUGCCCCCUACCAUCCUCCAACAGCCCAAGCUGUGGAUUUCAUCUGCAGUUUUGUCACUCACAGUGCAAAUCUCAAAUGACACCUGAUUCCCUGCAGUAUGCUACUUUUCACCAUAGGGAGAUAGGGCAUGUAGUGAACUAAACAGUGAACUAUAUAGGAGAUAGGGAGCCAUUUGAGACAGUUAACCAGCUCACUAACACAGUGAGGUGGAACCUCUGUUUUAAAGCAGAGAUUCCAAAGGCAGUUGAGUUGAUUUAGCCUCUGUUCUAUAAUAACUUAAUGUGAGCUAUUUUCUGUUGAAUGUAUUCUGUAUGGUACCAUAGCAGCUGUUCAGAACAGUUUCAGACCCACCAUUACCGUUCAAUGUUUGAUUAUCAUUUACAGUAUAUCUGCAAAUACUGUGUGUGUGUGUGUGCGUGUGCGUGUGCGUGUGCGUGCGUGCGCGUGCGUGUGUGCGUGUGUGUGUGUGCGUGCGCGUGCGUGCGUGUGUGCGUGUGUGUGUGUGUGUGUGUGUGUGUAAGUUGCCGUGUUUUACCUGGCUUAUUGUCUAAGGACUGAAGAGACAGUCCUCUUUUUAUGAACGUAUUCACUGUCCACUGCUCGUUCACACUGCUGUAUUGACUAUGACCUGCUCUUACUGAGUUUUCUUACUGGCGCUACAUUUCAGCUGGUGGUAACAGUUCAAUCCAUUUACCAAACAGCUUUGACUAUCGGCUUUUCUAUGUUGUGUGUUUCUCUAUGAGUGUUCAGUUUCCUUGCUGUUGCAACCAAAGACAACCACACACGGUGAUUCACCAUCGAAGCUCGCCUGUUUUCAUAUACGAACAUGAUGACCACACACCCCCUCCGAACCCAAACCGUAACCUCUCUACCCCCUAACCCCCUUCCUCCCUAUCCACUAACUCUUAGUAAAGUUGCUACUGUAGAUGGACUCUGUUUUGCUACUCCUGCCAGAGCUGCCGGGCUGCUCCCGGAUUGGGAUACACAGACUAGGCUUUAGUAAACUGUAGACCAGGGUUGCAUAACUCCAGUCCUGGAGGGAAGUAGUAUACGCAGGUUUUAGUUCCAGCCCAGCACUAACACACCUGAUUCAGCUAAUCAAGAUCUCGAUGAUUGGUUGAUUAGUUGAACCAGGCAAGUUAUUGCUGGGGUGGAACAGAAGCCUGCAUAUACUGCAGACCUACAUAACUACCUGCUAUAGGCAGGGCACUGGGACUUCCACAGGCCGAGACGAAGUCACACGCGCUGAUGGGGUAUAUAUGCCCUCAUAUUAAAUGACAAAGCAGUGUCUGGUGGGAAAUGUAUGCUCAGUCUGCCUCUGGCAUUGUGAACUCUUAACUUGUGUGUGAGUGUCCGUGUGGUGAAGAGUGACUGCUCAAUGUUGAAAUACGUAACUUAUGUAUAAACGUAGUGUCUGUUAGAGGAAGGUACGCUCCAUAUUCUGGCUGUUUCAGAUGUGAUUGUACUGCCACCUAGUGGCGCUCCAUUGCUAUGUCAGUGUUUUACUCUUAUGGAGGCACUAAUGAAAACUUGGGAAAAACAUGUACAUUUGUGCAAGUGUUUUAUUUAAAAAACAAUAAAUGAAAAACGGACCCAA
ensembl:lncRNA